CCUACGGGUGGCAGCAGUGAGGAAUAUUGGUCAAUGGCCGGAAGGCUGAACCAGCCAUGCCGCGUGAAGGUCAGUGCCCUAUGGGCGUUAAACUUCUUUUGUGCGGGAGCAAUAAUGGUCACGUGUGGCCAGACGAGAGUACCGUACGAAUAAGCAUCGGCUAACUCCGGGCCAGCAGCCGCGGGAAUACGGGGAAUGCAAGCGUUUUCCGGGUUUAUUGGGUUUAAAGGGUGCGUAGGCUGUGAGGUAAGUCAGCGGUGAAAUGCCCCCGCUCAACGGGGUGCAGUGCCAUUGAUACUGGCUUGCUUGAAUGCGCAUGCCGUGGGAGGAAUGUGUGGUGUAGCGGUGAAAUGCAUAGAUAUCACACAGAACACCGAUUGCGAAGGCAUCUCACGAAUCCGCGAUUGACGCUGAUGCACGAAAGCGUGGGUAUCAAACAGGAUUAGAUACCCGAGUAGUC
rnacentral:rRNA from 1 species